CAUGUAGGCGGUCUGUCAAGUCUGAAGUGAAAGCCCGGGGCUCAACCCCGGAAGUGCAUUGGAAACUGGCAGACUUGAGUACGGGAGAGGAAAGUGGAAUUUCGAGUGUAGGGGUGAAAUCCGUAGAUAUUCGAAGGAACACCAGUGGCGAAGGCGGCUUUCUGGACCGAUACUGACGCUGAGAUGCGAAAGCGUGGGGAGCAAACAGGAUUAGAUACCCUGGUAGUCC
rnacentral:rRNA from 1 species